AUGUCAUACAAAUGCAAUAAGACAAUAAAACAGAAGAUAUGUUUAUCUCUAAAAGCUAAAACAAAUAAGGCAGGACAACCUCAAACAACAACAACAUCAGUGAAUCAACCGCAAAGUGCUUCAACAAAAUCAUGGUACCACUGUGAUUUUGUUAAAUCUACCAUGAUAUCAAACAUGAACUAUACUAAUAGUUGGACAAAUCAAAUACAAGUUCCACAUAUCAAAUAA